UCACCAUAAAGGAUCUGCACUGCUAUAAUAUCAGUGAAGAUUUGCCAGAGGACCCAAUGGUGAUGACUGAACCACAGUCUUUGGUGUAACUGGAAGAGUGAGGCUGCACCAAAUCAGGCACUGCAAUUUAUCAUCCUCCCAGAGUCAAAGCCCUUCUCAGUACAGACGAAUGGGCUGAAGUUUCAUAGCCAGGAUCCUUGGGACACAAGUGUUCAGAAGGAGGCUAUGGCAGAGUUGCUUUCUGAAGAAAGGCAGAAAUGCUGUACCAAACAGGUAAACAAUCAGGAAUGAGGAUUUUGCAAGUCCUUGGCAAAUU
rnacentral:lncRNA from 1 species